rnacentral:tRNA from 1 species
UCGGAUAUGGUGUAACGGCUAACUUUGCCGCCUCUCAUUAGACGGGUCCGCCAUGUUUCGCGGCAGCUCGGGGUUCGAUUCCCCGUAUCCGAA